rnacentral:rRNA from 1 species
GAUGAACGCUGGCGGCGUGCCUAAUACAUGCAAGUCGAGCGAACGGACGAGAAGCUUGCUUCUCUGAUGUUAGCGGCGGACGGGUGAGUAACACGUGGAUAACCUACCUAUAAGACUGGGAUAACUUCGGGAAACCGGAGCUAAUACCGGAUAAUAUUUUGCACCGCAUGGUUCAAAAGUGAAAGACGGUCUUGCUGUCACUUAUAGAUGGAUCCGCUCUGCAUUAGCUAGUUGGUAAGGUAACGGCUUACCAAGGCAACGAUGCAUAGCCGACCUGAGAGGGUGAUCGGCCACACUGGAACUGAAACACGGUCAAGACUCCUACGGGAGGCAGCAGUAGGGAAUCUUCAGCAAUGGGGGAAAGCCUGACGGGGCAACGCCGCGUGAGUGAUGAAGGUCUUCGGAUCGUAAAACUCUGUUAUUAGGGAAGAACAUAUGUGUAAGUAACUGUGCACAUCGUGACGGUACCUAAUCAGAAAGCCACGGCUAACUACGUG